GUAAUUAAAUUCUCAUUCAAACUCUUCCCAAACAUAUAUAGGAAACUUAAAAUUCCAAAAAUCACAUUUUCGUUCCCCCUAACUUACUAGCAAACUCAAUCUAGAUGAAGCCUUCAGUUUGUAUAUGAUAAAGUAUCUAGCCCACAAGAAUGCCUCCUGCCAAGAAUUCCUGUCAUGGCUUUCGAGAACUCAAUCUGAAGUUAAGCAGUCGACCUGAAACAUAAUGGUUUGUC